UACGUAGGGUGCAAGCGUUAAUCGGAAUUACUGGGCGUAAAGCGUGCGCAGGCGGCUAUGCAAGACAGAUGUGAAAUCCCCGGGCUUAACCUGGGAACUGCAUUUGUGACUGCAUGGCUGGAGUGCGGCAGAGGGGAUGGAAUUCCGCGUGUAGCAGUGAAAUGCGUAGAUAUGCGGAGGAACACCGAUGCGAAGGCAAUCCCUGGGCCUGCACUGACGCUCGAUGCACGAAAGCGUGGGAGCAAACAGG
rnacentral:rRNA from 1 species